rnacentral:rRNA from 1 species
GACGAACGCUGGCGGCGUGCUUAACACAUGCAAGUCGAACGGGAUCCAAGUAGUAGCAAUACUACGGAAGAUCUAGUGGCGAACGGGUGAGUAACACGUGAGGAACCUACCCCGGACUCAGGGAUAACAGACGGAAACAUCUGCUAAUACCUGAUGCCGUCGGAGCAUCACAUGGUGCACUGACGAAAGAAUCUCGGUUCGGGAGGGCCUCGCGGCCUAUCAGCUUGUUGGUGGGGUAACGGCCUACCAAGGCGUCGACGGGUAGCUGGUCUGAGAGGAUGAUCAGCCACACUGGGACUGAGACACGGCCCAGACUCCUACGGGAGGCAGCAGUGGGGAAUCUUGCGCAAUGGGCGAAAGCCUGACGCAGCAACGCCGCGUGCGGGAUGAAGGCCCUAGGGUUGUAAACCGCUUUCAGUAGGAACGAAAAUGACGGUAC